UGUCAUUGCUAAUAAUAUCUAUUAAUUAUUUGGAUUGGAAGGGGGACAUCUUCAUCAUUUUGUGACACUCACUGUUUCAUUGGCCAUUCAUUUACUAGGUAUAACUUUUCAUUUGACUAACUUAGCAACAUUUUUGAAAAAAGCCGCCAUGAAGAUUGAAGCCGCAAUCAUUAUUCUUUUUUAUCAGGCAGUACCCUCCCUAACCUAGCAGAGGAAUUUGAAUUUCACUUUUCUUUUCGCAUACAAAUAUUUCAUUAAAUGGUUGCGUAACUUCACAGUCGAACUUUUGCCGCUUUAUUGACUCGCAGGGAUGCCAGAUGCGGGCGUUUUUAAUUGCAAAACUGGAAUGGCAAUGUUGCGCCUUUCCUGUUACUUUCAAGAUGGCUGCUGACAGUCUGCCAGCCUCGGCGAGCUAAGUCAACUCAAUUUACUCAACUUAAAGUCUUAAAUACCCUGACAUUGUUCGUCAUAUAAUGCAUGGUGAAGUAGUCUUAGCUUCUUCACUGCAGUCCAAUGCACUGUGCAUGUGUGAUUUGUUGCAGCCAGCUGGUGAAAGGUGUUCCUCUUAUUACAGGCUUGCCACCAGUACUGUUUGUAGCUUUCGUCACAUGCAUAAACACUUCCAAACAAUUUCAAGUAACUAAGUUGAUCAACUUUUUUACAUAGGAUUAACAGCCUCUUGAGGUCUGAGCCUUUCCGUUGCAGUCCAAUGUGUACAUGAAUUUUGUGCAGCCAGCUAGUGAACAGUGUGGUGAGCGGUUCAUGCAGACUGUGGUACUGGUGUCGUGCGUUCAUUUAACUAUGACCGUUCAGUCGUUCGUUUAUCGUAAGAAAUUUGUCACUUGUCGUAGGUGUGUAAAAUUGUGUCCACCAGGUGACAAAGAACUUGAUGUUGAAGACAAGUGACAUCUUAUUUUGUGCUUCUAAAUAAGUGCUUUUGUGGAAAGUACUUGUAAAGAGUUUUAAUUUUUUUUUUAUGAAACAACAGAAAUUCCCUUGAUUUUUAAAAAGAUUUCCAUGGUCAGUUUUAUGUUUGAGCUGUUAAUGGUGUUGCUGUAUGGGGUACAGUGGUUUUGCAGACCUUUUCCAGUUGAGAGAUGCGAUGAAAUGGAGCCUGUGCAGACUUGCAGUUGAAUAUCAUACUUUAUUAAUGUGUCAUUUUCCUAUGUUGGUGUCCAUGCAGUAUAUGCAGCGUUGUGCAAAAUAGUCGGUGUUGCCUGAUGGCUGUCGGGCUUAUUUUAUCGGCAGCAUUUUGUCGAAAUCUCGUCUCUUGCAACCUAUAUCGCCGUUGAGUUGAUUCGUUUGCCGCCGUUCCUUAGACUUGAUUCACCGGUGAAACUAAGAAGACGUUGCUGAAAUUCAAAAUUAAUCGAUAAAUUAUAUAGAUAAAUUACAAGUGCAUAUCUGGGCUCCCUUCUUCAGUGGCC